rnacentral:misc_RNA from 1 species
GAUGAAGAACGUAGCGAAAUGCGAUAAGUAGUGUGAAUUGCAGAAUUCAGUGAAUCAUCGAAUCUUUGAACGCACAUUGCGCCCCUUGGUAUUCCAUGGGGCAUGCUUGUUCGAGCGUCAUUUGUACUCUCAAGCUUUGCUUGGUGUUGGGUGUUUGUCCUUGCCUUUGUGCUUGGACACGCCUUAAAUUCAUUGGCAGCCAAUGUAUUGGUUUGAAGCGCAGCACAAUUUGCGGUUCUCACUGAUCAUCAUUAGCGUCCAUAAAGCACAAUUAACACUUUUGACCUCGGAUCAAGUAGGGAUACCCGCUGAACUUAAGCAUAUCAAUAAGCGGAGGA